rnacentral:lncRNA from 1 species
UAUUUUAUUAUGAGAUGUUAUUUCUGAAUUUUGGUGAAAAUCCUUAGGCUUAACCUAUUGGCAUCAAAAACACUGGGCAGUUGUGUUAUGUGUCUCCCUCCUUAUUACUUAUUUUAGUCAUUGGCCAGGAACUCGUGUUUGGAAUUAACAUGAUGAAUCCCUCUCCACUCAACUCCAUUCAGGCAAUCACAGACUACUAAACUAAAAAUCAACAAUGGAAGAAAUGCCAGGAAGAGGCCAUCCCAGCAUUAAGAGAUACUCUUAUCAUCAAAGUAAACCAAAUGUUCUUUCUUGCAGCCAAAUAACU